rnacentral:rRNA from 1 species
AGUGAACGCUGGCGGUAGGCCUAACACAUGCAAGUCGAACGGCAGCACAGUAAGAGCUUGCUCUUACGGGUGGCGAGUGGCGGACGGGUGAGGAAUACAUCGGAAUCUACUUUUUCGUGGGGGAUAGCAUAGGGAAACUUACGCUAAUACCGCAUACGACCUACGGGUGAAAGCAGGGGAUCUUCGGACCUUGCGCGAUUGAAUGAGCCGAUGUCGGAUUAGCUAGUUGGCGGGGUAAAGGCCCACCAAGGCGACGAUCCGUAGCUGGUCUGAGAGGAUGAUCAGCCACACUGGAACUGAGACACGGUCCAGACUCCUACGGGAGGCAGCAGUGGGGAAUAUUGGACAAUGGGCGCAAGCCUGAUCCAGCCAUACCGCGUGGGUGAAGAAGGCCUUCGGGUUGUAAAGCCCUUUUGUUGGGAAAGAAAAGCAGCAGGUUAAUACCCCGCUGUUCUGACGGUACCCAAAGAAUAAGCACCGGCUAACUUCGUG